rnacentral:lncRNA from 1 species
GUUCGUCUCCUGCCUCUGCAGAAAAUAUGCAAUAAAGCACCUUUCCUGAAGUUUUGUCGAGCGCUCUGCCCAGCGGGAGCCUACACAGUUUGCAGUUGGAAUUGCAAGAAAUCGUGAACGCGUGUGCGCAAGCAGGAUUUUGAGUCGGAUCUGCGUCAAGCUUGCGUCGGCACAAAAAAUUCACUAGGAACUCUUGUGCAGUCAGCGAGACGCGCUGCUGAUGGGUUGGCCUUGGCCGAAUUCGAGUUUUGUUUUUGGAGCUUUUUGUCAAAUCAGAUACUCACAGGACUGUGAAUCCAUAGUUGAAUGCGUCGCGUGUCGAAUUCUGCAGAAGCGAACCUACAAACUCGAACGGCAGCUUGUGGCACAUGCUGAUGUGAGGUUGCGCUUUAUCUCCUUCCGAGCCCUUUGUUGUAAAAAAGAUGAAACCGUACCAAAACAGAAACACACUGAACGCGCGACUGCGGUCGUAUCCAAGAUUUUCGUGACACAAGCUCUUGAACUGUAUUCCUUCGGUUAUGCCGACUGCCGUGUCCCUUUUUUGUCACCUCUCUCGUCCGUUCAAUGCCGCCUACCCUAUGGAAACGACCGCUCUGUCCGGCGCCAGAUGAAUCAUUUUUCGCGGACAUUUUGUGGUCUGAACUUCUCUGACAGUGAGAAUCCGAUUUCUUGCAAAGGACGUGUGUUUUCAGAAAGAACUCGACCACGUGGCGCACACCAACCACACAGCCCCCCCACGUCUAGCCCAGACGAGCAGCGUACCAUUUAAAUGAACCGCGAAGACACGAAAUCUUCCUAAUUUCUCGCCACCGCAGACACGAAGAAAAACCUCCACCUUCUUUCUCAUCACUCAUCUACAACAAAACUCCGCACUUCUGCCACGACGACGCGUUGCAAUCACUUGUCCAAGAGACGCAACCCCCAGAAGUCCCUCCAAACUGCCCAGAAUCAUACGAAAAGUGUCUCUACGCCACGAUUCUCGAGACAUCGGAUGUCUCCGCUGCGUUGAUUAAUCCACAUCAUGUAUGGAAACAGCAGUCGAGGUGUAGAACUCGUUGCCUAGCCGUGCCUACGUCCACGCGUUUAGGGCGAAACUUGGUAAGACACCCGUCGAUAGUUUUAUGCAUUUUCGAACGCCUGCAAGGUACACGUAUAUGCUGCGUCUGUGCGUGUGCUAAUUUUUUGGUUUCUUCUCCCGUGUUUUUCUAGCGGCCUCUUUUGGAAUCCUAC